rnacentral:rRNA from 1 species
UACGUAGGGGGCGAGCGUUGUCCGGAUUUAUUGGGCGUAAAGGGCGCGUAGGCGGCUGGGCAAGUCAAAGGUGAAAUCCCUCGGCUCAACUGAGGAACUGCCUUUGAAACUGCCUGGCUUGAGGCCGGGAGGGGGUAGCGGAAUUCCCAGUGUAGCGGUGAAAUGCGUAGAUAUUGGGAAGAACACCGGUGGCGAAGGCGGCGCUCUGGACCGAGACUGACGCUGAGGCGCGAAAGCGUGGGGAGCAAACAGG